GGGUGCGAUCAUACCAGCACUAAUGCACCGGAUGCCAUCAGAACUCCGAAGUUAAGCGCGGUUGGGCGAGAGUAGUAUUAGGAUGGGUGUCCUCCUCGGAUGUCCUCGUGUUGCACCCC
rfam:Cephalotus follicularis DNA, scaffold: scaffold252, isolate: St1.